UAUCCAAGUGAUCGAGUGGGUCUUCCAUAGGCAGACCAUGGAACUUGUUUCCCUGAAUCAUCGAGAUGAGACCACUCUUAAUCUCGAAAUU
rnacentral:sRNA from 1 species